UAGUACGGAUUUUGUUGACCUCGCGCAGCGGCUCACGGGGCACGGGGCACCUCGCGUCGACGCGUCCUUGCGCCCGCAUGUAGAAGGUGACACCGCCGCCUCUCCCGUGCAAGAUCCUCGUCCGACGGCCACGGAUCGAGAUCUAUGGGGGAGGCCUCCAUACUGAGCGCCGCCGGCCAAGUCGCCGAGUACCGCGCUGACGCCGGAUUCGUCGGCCUCCAACCCAGCAUGUUCCUUUUUCUCUCGGAACCACACCGGCAACAAUCAAGGUUGCACCAACAGAUCCCAUCCCAGGAACCACACCGGCACCAGGUCCCUUCGAGAAGUCAAGUCCAGGAGGAAGUUAGGAACUUUGAGAAGCUCAAAUGGAUCCUAAAGAAGGGGGAGUUCAAAGAAGCUCAAAUGGCACAAACAAUGUCCUGUGUGGAGUUGCUUAGUUAGCAGUCUGCUAUUGUUUUCUGUUUCACGAACAAUCCAAUAUGAAACUAUCAUACAACACAUUGUGUUCUGUACUGAAUCUUUUCCUUUUAUUUUUUUACAUCGCUGAUUGAAGAAACUUUGCCUCUGUCUCUGCAAAUGUUCCAACAGCAAAAUUGGGGAACUUGGAUUAUAAAUAUUUUUGUUUAUGUACA